UACGUAGGGGGCAAGCGUUGUCCGGAUUUAUUGGGCGUAAAGAGCGUGUAGGCGGUCAGGUAGGUCCGUUGUGAAAACUCGAGGCUCAACCUCGAGACGCCGAUGGAAACCAUCUGACUAGAGUCCGGAAGAGGAGAGUGGAAUUCCUGGUGGUAGCGGUGAAAUGCGCAGAUAUCAGGAAGAACACCCGUGGCGAAGGCGGCUCUCUGGGACGGUACUGACGCUGAGACGCGAAAGCGUGGGGAGCGAACAGG
rnacentral:rRNA from 1 species